AUUGAACGCUGGCGGCAUGCUUUACACAUGCAAGUCGAACGGUAACAGGGUGCUUGCACCGCUGACGAGUGGCGAACGGGUGAGUAAUGCGUCGGAACGUGCCGAGUAGAGGGGGAUAACGCAGCGAAAGUUGUGCUAAUACCGCAUACGUACUGAGGUAGAAAGUGGGGGACCUUCGGGCCUCACGCUAUUCGAGCGGCCGACGUCUGAUUAGCUAGUAGGUGAGGUAAAGGCUCACCUAGGCGACGAUCAGUAGCGGGUCUGAGAGGAUGAUCGGCCACCCUGGGACUGAGACACGGCCCAGACUCCUACGGGAGGCAGCAGUGGGGAAUUUUGGACAAUGGGCGAAAGCCUGAUCCAGCCAUGCCGCGUGUCUGAAGAAGGCCUUCGGGUUGUAAAGGACUUUUGUCAGGGAGGAAAUCCCUAGCGUUAAUACCGCUGGGGGAUGACAGUACCUGAAGAAUAAGCACCGGCUAACUACGUGCCAGCAGCCGCAGUAAUAC
rnacentral:rRNA from 1 species